AAGUCGUAACAAGGUAACCGUAGGUGAACCUGCGGUUGGAUCAUUAUAAAUUUUUUUAUAAUAUUAUAGUAAGUAUUAUUAUUAGAAUUAUAAAUAAUUUUUGCUCCUUUUUAUUAAAAAAAGUUUUUUGAGCGAAAGUUUUUUAUUAUUUUAUAAUAAUCUUCUAUAAUAAAAACACUAUGUGCACUAUAAUAGUUUUUUGGGUAUUAUACUUUUUUAAAGUAUAUACCCAGUUAUAUAUUAAACCUUAAUUUUACAAUAAGUCUGACGUUUUUCAUAUAAUUGAAAUAUAUAAAAACAACUUUUGACAACGGAUCUCUUGGCUCUC
rnacentral:misc_RNA from 1 species